GCUCAGGACGAACGCUGGCGGCGUGCCUAAUACAUGCAAGUAGAACGCUGAAGAGAGGAGCUUGCUCUUCUUGGAUGAGUUGCGAACGGGUGAGUAACGCGUAGGUAACCUGCCUUGUAGCGGGGGAUAACUAUUGGAAACGAUAGCUAAUACCGCAUAACAAUGGAUGACACAUGUCAUUUAUUUGAAAGGGGCAAUUGCUCCACUACAAGAUGGACCUGCGUUGUAUUAGCUAGUAGGUGAGGUAACGGCUCACCUAGGCGACGAUACAUAGCCGACCUGAGAGGGUGAUCGGCCACACUGGGACUGAGACACGGCCCAGACUCCUACGGGAGGCAGCAGUAGGGAAUCUUCGGCAAUGGGGGCAACCCUGACCGAGCAACGCCGCGUGAGUGAAGAAGGUUUUCGGAUCGUAAAGCUCUGUUGUAAGUCAAGAACGAGUGUGAGAGUGGAAAGUUCACACUGUGACGGUAGCUUACCAGAAAGGGACGGCUAACUACGUGCCAGCAGCCGCGGUAAUACGUAGGUCCCGAGCGUUGUCCGGAUUUAUUGGGCGUAAAGCGAGCGCAGGCGGUUUGAUAAGUCUGAAGUUAAAGGCUGUGGCUCAACCAUAGUUCGCUUUGGAAACUGUCAAACUUGAGUGCAGAAGGGGAGAGUGGAAUUCCAUGUGUAGCGGUGAAAUGCGUAGAUAUAUGGAGGAACACCGGUGGCGAAAGCGGCUCUCUGGUCUGUAACUGACGCUGAGGCUCGAAAGCGUGGGGAGCGAACAGGAUUAGAUACCCUGGUAGUCCACGCCGUAAACGAUGAGUGCUAGGUGUUGGAUCCUUUCCGGGAUUCAGUGCCGCAGCUAACGCAUUAAGCACUCCGCCUGGGGAGUACGACCGCAAGGUUGAAACUCAAAGGAAUUGACGGGGGCCCGCACAAGCGGUGGAGCAUGUGGUUUAAUUCGAAGCAACGCGAAGAACCUUACCAGGUCUUGACAUCCCGAUGACCGGCCCGUAACGGGGCCUUCUCUUCGGAGCAUUGGAGACAGGUGGUGCAUGGUUGUCGUCAGCUCGUGUCGUGAGAUGUUGGGUUAAG
rnacentral:rRNA from 1 species